rnacentral:rRNA from 1 species
GACGAACGCUGGCGGCGUGCUUAACACAUGCAAGUCGAACGAAGAGCGAUGGAAGCUUGCUUCUAUCAAUCUUCGUGGCGAACGGGUGAGUAACGCGUAAACAACCUGCCCUUCAGAGGGGGACAACAGUUGGAAACGACUGCUAAUACCGCAUUCGAUCUAAUCUCGGCAUCGAGGAUAGGUGAAAGGUGGCCUCUACAUGUAUGCUUUCACUGAAGGAGCGGAAUGUGGCUGAUUAGCUAGUUGGAGGGGGAACGGACCACCAAGGCGAUGCUUGGUAGCCGGACGGGAGAGAGUGACGGCCAAAAUGGGACCGAGAAACGGCCCAGGACCCUACGGGAGGCAGCAAUGGGGAAACUUCCGGAAUGGACGAAAAUCUUACGGAGCAACGCCGCGUGAGGGAAGACGGCCCUCGGGUUGUAAAGCUCUUUUAAUCGGGACGAAAGGCCUUCUUGCGAAUAGGGAGAAGGAUUGACGGUACCGGAACAGAAAGCCACGGCUAACUACGUG